rnacentral:rRNA from 1 species
AGAGUUUGAUCCUGGCUCAGGAUGAACGCUAGCGGCAGGCCUAAUACAUGCAAGUCGAACGAUAGAUAUCAGCUUGCUGAUAUCGAAAGUGGCGCACGGGUGCGUAACGCGUAUGCAACCUACCUCAAUCAGGGGGAUAGCCCGAAGAAAUUCGGAUUAACACCGCAUAAAAACACAGUACAGCAUUGUACAAUGUUCAAAUAUUUAUAGGAUUGAGAUGGGCAUGCGUGUCAUUAGCUAGUUGGCGGGGUAACGGCCCACCAAGGCGACGAUGACUAGGGGAUCUGAGAGGAUGACCCCCCACACUGGUACUGAGACACGGACCAGACUCCUACGGGAGGCAGCAGUAAGGAAUAUUGGUCAAUGGAGGCAACUCUGAACCAGCCAUGCCGCGUGCAGGAAGACAGCCCUCUGGGUCGUAAACUGCUUUUAUUCGGGAAUAAACCUUAUUACGUGUAAUAAGCUGAAUGUACCGAAGGAAUAAGGAUCGGCUAACUCCGUGCCAGCAGCCGCGGUAAUACGGAGGAUCCAAGCGUUAUCCGGAUUUAUUGGGUUUAAAGGGUGCGUAGGCGGCUUAUUAAGUCAGGGGUGAAAGACGGUGGCUCAACCAUCGCAGUGCCUUUGAUACUGAUGAGCUUGAAUGAACUAGAGGUAGGCGGAAUGUGACAAGUAGCGGUGAAAUGCAUAGAUAUGUCACAGAACACCGAUUGCGAAGGCAGCUUACUAUGGUUUUAUUGACGCUGAGGCACGAAAGCGUGGGGAUCAAACAGGAUUAGAUACCCUGGUAGUCCACGCCCUAAACGAUGAAUACUCGCUGUUAGCGAUAUACAGUUAGCGGCUAAGCGAAAGCGUUAAGUAUUCCACCUGGGGAGUACGCCCGCAAGGGUGAAACUCAAAGGAAUUGACGGGGGCCCGCACAAGCGGAGGAGCAUGUGGUUUAAUUCGAUGAUACGCGAGGAACCUUACCCGGGCUUGAAAGUUAGUGAAUCAUCUAGAGAUAGAUGAGUGAGCAAUCACACGAAACUAGGUGCUGCAUGGCUGUCGUCAGCUCGUGCCGUGAGGUGUUGGGUUAAGUCCCGCAACGAGCGCAACCCCUAUGUUUAGUUGCCAGCACGUUAAGGUGGGGACUCUAAACAGACUGCCUGUGCAAACAGAGAGGAAGGAGGGGACGACGUCAAGUCAUCAUGGCCCUUACGUCCGGGGCUACACACGUGCUACAAUGGAUGGUACAGAGGGCAGCAAGCUGGCAACAGCAAGCAAAUCUCAAAAAGCCAUUCACAGUUCGGAUAGAGGUCUGCAACUCGACCUCUUGAAGUUGGAUUCGCUAGUAAUCGCGUAUCAGCAAUGACGCGGUGAAUACGUUCCCGGGCCUUGUACACACCGCCCGUC